AUGGCAUGUGGUCAGCGGUUGUGCGAUCUGAGCGGAGGGACUUGUGACAGCAAGCGCGAAUCAGAUGAAUCCAUCGACGGCGUGGUCGGAAUCGUGGUGGUGACAGCUGGAGAUUGCAGUGAGAGGUUGUGUGAUGCUGUGGGGACGGUGGGAUCGUGGUAUCGCCGAUCAAAGCUUCAGCGGAGUCCUGUCACGCAUGGUCGCUGUUUCGGCUUGCGCUGUCGGAAGGAAUCCCUACGUGUAGGACCAGCGGAUACAGUAGACGGUGCUAAGCCACGUGAAAAAGCAGAAACAUCAGCUUGA